CACGGACCGCACGAACGUUAUUCGGUAUCACUGGGCUUAAAGGGCUCGUAGGCGGCCAACUAAGUCGGACGUGAAAUCCCCAGGCUCAACCUGGGAACUGCGUCUGAUACUGGAUGGCUUGAAUCCGGGAGAGGGAUGCAGAAUUCCAGGUGUAGCGGUGAAAUGCGUAGAUAUCUGGAGGAAUACCGGUGGCGAAGGCGGCAUCCUGGACCGGCAUUGACGCUGAGGAGCGAAAGCCAGGGGAGCAAACGGG
rnacentral:rRNA from 1 species